UACGUAGGGUGCAAGCGUUGUCCGGAAUUAUUGGGCGUAAAGAGCUCGUAGGCGGUUUGUUGCGUCGGCUGUGAAAACCUGAGGCUCAACCUCAGGCCUGCAGUCGAUACGAGCAGACUAGAGUGUUGCAGGGGAGACUGGAAUUCCUGGUGUAGCGGUGGAAUGCGCAGAUAUCAGGAGGAACACCGGUGGCGAAGGCGGGGUCUCUGGGCAGUAACU
rnacentral:rRNA from 1 species